GACGAACGCUGGCGGCGUGCUUAACACAUGCAAGUCGAGCGAUGAAGCACCUUCGGGUGUGAAUUAGCGGCGAACGGGUGAGGAACACGUGAAGAAUCUGCCUUCAACUCUGGGAUAACUCCGGGAAACCGGGGCUAAUACCGGAUAUGAGCCUUGAUCGCAUGAUCGGGGCUGGAAAGUUUUUCGGUUGAAGAUGACUUCGCGGCCUAUCAGCUUGUUGGUGAGGUAAUGGCUCACCAAGGCGACGACGGGUAGCCGGUUUGAGAGGACGAUCAGCCACACUGGGACUGAGACACGGCCCAGACUCCUACGGGAGGCAGCAGUGGGGAAUCUUGCGCAAUGGGCGAAAGCCUGACGCAGCAACGCCGCGUGCGGGAUGACGGCCUUCGUGGUUGUAAACCGCUUUCAGCAGGGACGAAAAUGACGGUACCUGCAGAAGAAGCUCCGGCUAACUACGUGCCAGCAGCCGCGGUAA
rnacentral:rRNA from 1 species